AAGAUUAAUACCGCAUAAGAUUGUAGUACCGCAUGAUAUAGCAAUUAAAGGAGCAAUUCGCUAUAAGAUGGACCCGCGUCGCAUUAGCUAGUUGGUGAGGUAAUGGCUCACCAAGGCGACGAUGCGUAGCCGACCUGAGAGGGUGAUCGGCCACAUUGGGACUGAGACACGGCCCAGACUCCUACGGGAGGCAGCAUG
rnacentral:rRNA from 1 species